AAGUCAUCAUGAGUCAUGAUGUCCUUGUGUGUUGGUCUCUGCAUUAUAGAUGUACGUAUAGUACUGAAUGGCUAUAGAAUCAAAGGUCUUAGGCAGUUAAUUACCCCCUCUAUUCAGACACUCGGGGCGGCAGGGUAUCCUAGUGGUUAGAGCGUUGGACUAGUAACCGAAAGGUUUCAUGUUCAAAUCCCCGAGCUGACAAGGUACAAAUCUGUCGUUCUGCCCCUGAACAGGCAGUUAACCCACUGUUCCUAGGCCGUCAUUGAAAAUAAUAAUUUGUUCUUAACUGACUUGCCUAGUUAAAUAAAGGUACAGUUUAAAAUGUAAAAAACAGACUCCCAAUAUUGGAGUCAUUUUCUAUUUAAACUACUACUUCGGCCUUAAUUUAAAUUGGGUCAUUUGAGUCUCUGAAAGAGAUGUGCUUUCCCAGUCAUGUUUUGCUCUCUGCUUUUUGUUCGGGUUAACAAGUAUGUUCUACAUUCCUCUAUGCUCUCUCUAUCUUCAGGAGAAAUACCAUCAACAGCAACAUCAGGAGCCUGUCGGUGGAGCAACGCAGGGCCUUUGGGAGGUGGUACAGCCGAGCCCUCAGCUCCCUCAACAUGACAGCCGGCGGCCCCUCCUUCAUCAGGGACACUGGUAACCUGAUAGUCUACCUGCCCUUUCACAGCUUCCAGCACCUCUCACCUGCUCAGCUGUUGGUUGGAAUGGAUGUGUUGCUGAUGAACACCCUAAGCCAACUACAACAGCAGUUUGUGGCUGACAGCCUCAUAAGGACCUUCAGAAAUCUAACAGUGGAACAAUUCAGGAGGCUUGGCAACCUGACGUGUCUGUCAGACCCAAAGGACCUGCUGGUGUACAGAAACUCGGAGGCCUUCUCUGUGAUUCAGGACAACAUUAGGACAUGUGUUGCCCAGGGCCUCAGGGGCCCCAGUGACAUGGUAAGUAGACCUAUCACAGACAGAACUACUUUAUUUUUUCACUGCAAAGUUUAAGGUGAAACUCAUAUGGGUAUGAGUGAAGUAGACUAAUCUAUGGGUUUAAUUUCUUGUUUGCACUUU
rnacentral:lncRNA from 1 species